rnacentral:misc_RNA from 1 species
UUUCCGUAGGUGAACCAGCGGAGGGAUCAUUAUUGAAUAAUCUAAGUGCGAGGGCUUUGUCUGACCCGAUACGUCGUGCACGCCCGAGUGCCCUCACACAGAGCCAUCGCACCCCUAUUUACACCACCUCGUCGGUCCCGCUUUGACUUGUUCGUGGUGUGGCCUACGUGUUCACACAAUCUACAUCGGCAGUGUUGGAUGCAUCUUUUGUUAUUACGAUCACAGAAUCAAAACACCUUUCUACAACCGACAUCUUGGCUCUCGCAUCUAUGAAGAACG